rnacentral:rRNA from 1 species
AUAUAACCUUGGCUGAAAGCCUGGGUAAUCUUUUGAAACUUCAUCGUGCUGGGGAUAGACCAUUGCAAUUAUUGGUCUUCAACGAGGAAUUCCUAGUAAGCGCGAGUCAUCAACUCGCGUUGAUUACGUCCCUGCCCUU